UACAUGUCGACUAAUUUCAUGUGUAUCUCAUAAAAACACAUGUUAGUCUACCUAGGUUGUCACUCAAUUACUAAAAACCAAACAAGGACCUUUUAGCCUAGAGUCCUGUGGCUCUCUCCGCGUGUCAGGCUAUUGGUCUCUGUUAAAGCAUGGUAGAAGAUUCCCUGUGUCGCUCCAGGCAGAUGAUUGGUCGGGACGAUGCCACGAGGAUCCAAGGUUCUUGACUUUCCUUGGUUGGUCAUUGCAUGUUGUUGUCCAAAGCUAGGAACACUCGUACACUUUCUUGAGCCCUUGGGGUGUGGGGGCUUGAUGGUAGGCUCACCCUAAGGCGUUUCUCCCAAGUGUUAGGGCUAGUUAAUUAUGGAGUGGGCCAACUCGUGCUCAAUGGACUGUUCUUGUUAUCAAGGGUGUGCGCGCAAGCGCACACGCUGUGUGAGCCCCUAACACUAUGGGAUACUGAUGCUUUGCCGAGUGUAUGUAGCACUCGGCAAAUGCCGAAAUACACUCGGCAAAGCCUUUGCCAAGUGCCACACUCGGCAAAGCCUUUGCCGAGUGCCACACUCGGCAAAGACCACACGGCAAAAUUUUAGCUGACAAAGGGGUCUUUGCCGAGUGCUAUUUUUUGGGCACUCGGCAAAGGCUUUACCGAGUGUUGACACUCGACAAAGAUAAAAACAAAAAAAUCAAAAAAAAUCCGAAAAAAGAGAAUUUUUUUUUGCAGGAGGCCAGCCCCCCGCC
rnacentral:lncRNA from 1 species